ACACACACACUCUGCUUUGUGACCUCACCGCCCCUGGGUGUGGUCUCCGCACAGCCUCUGCGUGGGGUGCAGACGGACGGCAGGAUGCAUAUUUGUUUCCCCAGCUGGUUCUCCCCUCCAAGGUGCAGAAACCUUUCCCCUCCCUCCCUCCAUGAAGACAACAGCACCCAGUGAGGACUGCAGCAAAUCUGGGGGUAGCAGUCAGGAGCCCCUGAUGGAAGGAAGGCUCUGCCGAGAUAGCAUUCUGGACGGGACUCAGCGUGGCCAGCGUUUCUCAGGAGGCAGAGUGGGCGGAGUCUGGGUUGUGGAGUUUGUAUCUGGGUUCAGGUCCGACUUCCGCCACUUGUGAGCUGGGGCCCCGGACGAGCCCCUCAGCCCUAGGGUGCUGUAACCUUGGGUGGCCCACGGGAAUGAAAAUACCCAUCGCACAGGGGUGCGGUGAGGCAGCGCGCAUAAGGUCCUCAAAACGGUGCAGGCGAGAUGCGCAUUCAUCGUUCGCAUUAGUGCUGCUUGGAGAGGCAGCGUACGUUUCACUUUGCAGAUAGGAACCUAGGCCUUAGAAUCAGGCCUUCACCUGCAUCUGGGGCAGCCACUUCCUAGCGACGUGGCCUCGCGGAAGGCUCAAACUCUCUAAGGGGCCCAAAGAACUUUCCUAGAA